rnacentral:rRNA from 1 species
CUACGGGGCGCAGCAGUCGAGAAUCUUCCGCAAUGGACGAAAGUCUGACGGAGCGACGCCGCGUGCGGGAUGAAGGCCUUCGGGUUGUAAACCGCUGUCAGUGGGGAGGAAAUGCAUCAGGGUUCUCCCUGGUGUUUGACCGAUCCGCAGAGGAAGCGCAGGCUAAGUUCGUGCCAGCAGCCGCGGUAACACGAACUGCGCGAACGUUAUUCGGAAUCACUGGGCUUAAAGAGUUCGUAGGCGGCCUUUCAAGUCGGGUGUGAAAUCCCUCGGCUCAACCGAGGAAUUGCGCCUGAUACUGUUGGGCUUGAGGGGGAUAGGGGUGAGCGGAACUGAUGGUGGAGCGGUGAAAUGCGCUGAUAUCAUCAGGAACACCGGUGGCGAAGGCGGCUCACUGGAUCUCUUCUGACGCUGAGGAACGAAAGCUAGGGGAGCGAACGGGAUUAGAUACCCUAGUAGUC